UAGCAUUCCUUCAUACCGUCCCAACCUGCAAGCAGCAAAAGGGCAAGCAUUAACAGCGAACCCAAAGCCAUUGUACAGGAGAGAUGGUCAUUCUUAUAUCGGGACAGCGAGAUCAUAGAAGAGAAUGAAUCAAUCCCUCCACUCGCAAAGCAUUCUGCAUCCGAGAGCACAAGCGACUUUCCAUGUGCCAAAGUAGCCAAAAAGGCAUACUAGGCACACGACAGCCGCUGAAUGGUUCAUCCAAUGCCACCUUUAAUUGGGGAAUAGAUGAAUAGGAUUACGCCACAAAAUUGGAUUCCGCUAACUGGGUAUACAACACAGAAACCCAUCCUUGCCCGACAUAGCAACAUGCCUUCGAGACACCACUGAGUGGCCUCAAGGUAGACAGUUCGAUGCGUGAGCAUGGAGCCUGCCAACCCCAACAGCC
rnacentral:misc_RNA from 1 species